rnacentral:rRNA from 1 species
UACGGGGGGAGCAAGCGUUGUUCGGAUUUACUGGCGUAAAGGGCGCGUAGGCGGUCGUGACAAGUCACUUGUGAAAUCUCCGGGCUUAACUCGGAACGGUCAAGUGAUACUGUCGGACUAGAGUACAGAAGGGGCAACUGGAAUUCUCGGUGUAGCGGUGAAAUGCGUAGAUAUCAGGAGGAACACCAAUUGCGAAGGCAGCUCGCUGGGACGUUACUGACGCUGAGACGCGAAAGCGUGGGGAGCAAACAGG